GGUUAAGCGACUAAGCGUACACGGUGGAUGCCCUGGCAGUCAGAGGCGAUGAAGGACGUGCUAAUCUGCGAUAAGCGUCGGUAAGGUGAUAUGAACCGUUAUAACCGGCGAUUUCCGAAUGGGGAAACCCAGUGUGAUUCGUCACACUAUCAUUAACUGAAUCCAUAGGUUAAUGAGGCGAACCGGGGGAACUGAAACAUCUAAGUACCCCGAGGAAAAGAAAUCAACCGAGAUUCCCCCAGUAGCGGCGAGCGAACGGGGAGCAGCCCAGAGCCUGAAUCAGUGUGUGUGUUAGUGGAAGCGUCUGGAAAGGCGCGCGAUACAGGGUGACAGCCCCGUACACAAAAAUGCACAUGCUGUGAGCUCGAUGAGUAGGGCGGGACACGUGGUAUCCUGUCUGAAUAUGGGGGGACCAUCCUCCAAGGCUAAAUACUCCUGACUGACCGAUAGUGAACCAGUACCGUGAGGGAAAGGCGAAAAGAACCCCGGCGAGGGGAGUGAAAAAGAACCUGAAACCGUGUACGUACAAGCAGUGGGAGCACGCUUAGGCGUGUGACUGCGUACCUUUUGUAUAAUGGGUCAGCGACUUAUAUUCUGUAGCAAGGUUAACCGAAUAGGGGAGCCGAAGGGAAACCGAGUCUUAACUGGGCGUUAAGUUGCAGGGUAUAGACCCGAAACCCGGUGAUCUAGCCAUGGGCAGGUUGAAGGUUGGGUAACACUAACUGGAGGACCGAACCGACUAAUGUUGAAAAAUUAGCGGAUGACUUGUGGCUGGGGGUGAAAGGCCAAUCAAACCGGGAGAUAGCUGGUUCUCCCCGAAAGCUAUUUAGGUAGCGCCUCGUGAAUUCAUCUCCGGGGGUAGAGCACUGUUUCGGCAAGGGGGUCAUCCCGACUUACCAACCCGAUGCAAACUGCGAAUACCGGAGAAUGUUAUCACGGGAGACACACGGCGGGUGCUAACGUCCGUCGUGAAGAGGGAAACAACCCAGACCGCCAGCUAAGGUCCCAAAGUCAUGGUUAAGUGGGAAACGAUGUGGGAAGGCCCAGACAGCCAGGAUGUUGGCUUAGAAGCAGCCAUCAUUUAAAGAAAGCGUAAUAGCUCACUGGUCGAGUCGGCCUGCGCGGAAGAUGUAACGGGGCUAAACCAUG
rnacentral:rRNA from 1 species